CCCUUAGAUGUCCUGGGCCGCACGCGCGCUACCCUGAGUGUCUGAGAUACGAGUCUGCCUGGUCCGGCAAGGUCUAGGUAAUCGCUAAAAGACACAUCAUGCUUGGGAUAGAUUAUUGCAAAUAUUAAUCUUGAACGAGGAAUUCCUAGUAAGCGCAAGUCAACAGCUUGCGUUGAUUACGUCCCUGCCCUUUGUACACACCGCCCGUCGCUACUACUGAUUGGAUGUUUAAGCGAGGUUCUCGAACUGCUAGCGACUUAGCUUCGGUGAGGUCGCAGUGUGGGAAGUGAACCUAGCUUUGGUGUCUAGAGGAAGUAAAAGUCGUAACA
rnacentral:rRNA from 1 species